UAAGGAAUAUUGGUCAAUGGACGCAAGUCUGAACCAGCCAUGCCGCGUGGAGGAUUAAGGCCCUCUGGGUUGUAAACUCCUUUUAUCUGGGAAGAAAUGCAUUUUUUUUAAGAUGCUUGACGGUACCAGAGGAAUAAGCACCGGCUAACUCCGUGCCAGCAGCCGCGGUAAUACGGAGGGUGCAAGCGUUAUCCGGAUUCACUGGGUUUAAAGGGUGCGUAGGCGGGCAGGUAAGUCAGUGGUGAAAUCUCCGAGCUUAACUCGGAAACUGCCGUUGAUACUAUUUGUCUUGAAUACUGUGGAGGUAAGCGGAAUAUGUCAUGUAGCGGUGAAAUGCUUAGAUAUGACAUAGAACACCAAUUGCGAAGGCAGCUUACUACGCAGUGAUUGACGCUGAGGCACGAAAGCGUGGGGAGCAAACA
rnacentral:rRNA from 1 species